rnacentral:lncRNA from 1 species
UUCCCCACCUCUGAGACUUUGCCUGACUUUCAACCCCUACCUAAGUGUCUCCCCCUUCUGAGGGCCUUCCUGCCCCUCCCUUUGUUGUAAGCUCCUGGGCAACAGACUCUGGGCCUCUGGAGUCAUGAUCUCCAGCCAGUGUGUCUUGUUUGUUUUUGUGUUUGUGUUUGUUUUCAGUGAUUUCAUUAGAACACUGUUGAGUGCAUGCAUGUAGAAUAGAUGAAGGAAAGGGCCUUCCCUACUGG